rnacentral:misc_RNA from 1 species
AAGUCGUAACAAGGUUUCCGUAGGUGAACCUGCGGAAGGAUCAUUACUGAACUGUCGACACGAGUUGUUGCUGGUCCUCAAAUGGGGGCAUGUGCACGCUCUGUUUACACAUCCACUCACACCUGUGCACCCUCUGUAGUUCUAUGGCGUGGGGGACACCGUCCUCCUGCUGUUGUUCUGCAUCUUUACACACACACUGUUAUAAAGUCUCAUGGCAUGUAUACAGCGUUUAACGCAAUACAAUACAACUUUCAGCAACGGAUCUCUUGGCUCUC